CUCCCCACCAGGUGCCACGAGGGACAUCGGCUCUGCCCUGACCCGCAUGUGCAUGAGGCACCGCAGCAUCGAGGCCAAGCUCCGGCAGUUCACCAACGCCCUCAUGGAGAGCCUGAUAAACCCUUUGCAGGACAGGAUUGAGGACUGGAAGAAAACUGCCAACCAGCUGGACAAGGACCACGCGAAAGAGUACAAGCGAGCACGCCACGAGAUCAAGAAAAAAUCCUCUGACACCCUCAAGCUCCAGAAAAAGGCUCGCAAAGGUGAGGGAGGG